CGAACGAGUUAGGCUCGUGGCGUACGGCUCAGUAACACGUGGAUAACCUACCCUUAGGACCGGGAUAACCUUGGGAAACUGAGGAUAAUACUGGAUAGGCAAUUAUUUCUGCAAUGGUUUUUUGUUUAAAUGUUUUUUUCGCCUAAGGAUGGGUCUGCGGCCGAUUAGGUAGUUGGUUAGGUAAAGGCUUACCAAGCCGUUGAUCGGUACGGGUUGUGAGAGCAAGAGCCCGGAGAUGGAACCUGAGACAAGGUUCCAGGCCCUACGGGGUGCAGCAGGCGCGAAACCUCCGCAAUGUGAGAAAUCGCGACGGGGGGAUCCCAAGUGCCAUUCUUAACGGGAUGGCUUUCAUUAGGUAAA
rnacentral:rRNA from 1 species